UACGUAGGGGGCAAGCGUUGUCCGGAAUCAUUGGGCGUAAAGAGCGUGUAGGCGGCCCGAUAAGUCCGCUGUGAAAGUCCAGGGCUCAACCCUGGGAUGCCGGUGGAUACUGUCGGGCUCGAGUCCGGAAGAGGAGUGUGGAAUCCUGGUGUAGCGGUGAAAUGCGCAGAGUAUCAGGAGGAACACCAAUGGCGAAGGCAGCACUCUGGGACGUGACUGACGCUGAGACGCGAAAAGCCGUGGGGAGCAAACAGG
rnacentral:rRNA from 1 species